CAAAUACUCCCUCCGUCCGGAAAUACUUGUCGAAGAAAUGGAUGUAUGUAGACAUAUUUUAGUUCUAGAUACAAUAACUUUUAUCUAUUUCCGAGACAAGUAAUUCCGGACGGAGGGAGUAGCUG
rfam:Triticum aestivum genome assembly, contig: Triticum_aestivum_CS42_TGACv1_scaffold_486747_6AS